rnacentral:rRNA from 1 species
AUUGAACGCUGGCGGCAUGCCUUACACAUGCAAGUCGAACGGUAACAGGUCUUCGGAUGCUGACGAGUGGCGAACGGGUGAGUAAUACAUCGGAACGUGCCCGAUCGUGGGGGAUAACGAAGCGAAAGCUUUGCUAAUACCGCAUAAGAUCUACGGAUGAAGGCAGGGGACCGCAAGGCCUUGCGCGAACGGAGCGGCCGAUGGCAGAUUAGGUAGUUGGUGGGAUAAAAGCUUACCAAGCCGACGAUCUGUAGCUGGUCUGAGAGGACGACCAGCCACACUGGGACUGAGACACGGCCCAGACUCCUACGGGAGGCAGCAGUGGGGAAUUUUGGACAAUGGGCGAAAGCCUGAUCCAGCCAUGCCGCGUGCAGGAUGAAGGCCUUCGGGUUGUAAACUGCUUUUGUACGGAACGAAAAGACUCUGGUUAAUACCUGGGGUCCAUGACGGUACCGUAAGAAUAAGCACCGGCUAACUACGUG